GACGAACGCUGGCGGCAGGCCUAACACAUGCAAGUCGAGCGAGCGGCGGACGGGUGAGUAAUGUAUGGGGACUGCCCGAUAGAGGGGGAUAACUACUGGAAACGGUGGCUAAUACCGCAUACUAUCGGAUAACCCAUAUGGGAUUAGCUAGUAGGUGGGGUAAAGGCUCACCUAGGCGACGAUCUCUAGCUGGUCUGAGAGGAUGAUCAGCCACACUGGGACGGACAAACGGCCCAGACUACUACGGGGGGAGCAGUGGGGAAUAUUGCACAAUGGGCGCAAGCCUGAUGCAGCGUCGCCGCGUGGGGGAUGAGGGUUUUCGGGUUGUAAAACUCUUUCGCUAUCGAACGGGUAGGUGGAGAAGAAGCGCCGGCUAACUACGUGCCAGCAGCCGCGGUAAUAC
rnacentral:rRNA from 1 species